GCGACUGGUUGCAGUCCGGCAUGGGCACGAGCUGCGCCAGGUUGCUGAGGAACUAGUUUACUAUAAACAUGUAAUAAUAACAGUAACUCGACUGACCGUGGCGACUGGUUGCAGUCCGGCAUGGGCACGAGCUGCGCCAGGUUGCUGAGGAACUAGUUUACUAUAAACAUGUAAUGAUAACAGUAACUCGACUGACCGUGGCGACUGGUUGCAGUCUGGCAUGGGCACGAGCUGCGCCAGGUUGCUGAGGAACUAGUUUACUAUAAACAUGUAAUGAUAACAGUAACUCGACUGACCGUGGCGACUGGUUGCAGUCCGGCAUGGGCACGAGCUGCGCCAGGUUGCU